rnacentral:tRNA from 1 species
GAGUUUAGCUCAGCUGGUUCAGAGCACUUGCCUUACAAGCAAGGGGUCACUGGUUCGAAUCCAGUAACUCC